AGCCAUCUCAGGGAGUGGGUUCAUAGCAGGACACCAGCACGCUGUCAGUGCCUACUUCCAAAUUAGGAAGGAAACCUAGAAGCCCUGGAGUAAAUAAAGGAUGAGAAAAGACAAAUCCCAAAGGAAGGGUUCUGUUCAUCUCUCUGCUCAGAUAGGGAAACAAAGGGUCACUGAGUUACAUUUCCUGCCCCCUGUUAAGAUUUUACAAGAAAGCUGUGUUUCAGAGAAGUUAAAUGAUUUGUGUAUGUUUACACAACUACUAAGUGUCAGAGUACAGUGAUGCGGAUAAUGGAUUCCAAAGAGCUACUGAAGCAAGUCUGGAAUUUGAUGGAUCCAUCUUGGAGAAUGUUUACAUUGUUUAUGCUAUUGUAAACAAUUUGAAUCUUUUUUUA
rnacentral:lncRNA from 1 species